rnacentral:rRNA from 1 species
GGAUGAACGCUAGCUACAGGCUUAACACAUGCAAGUCGAGGGGAAACGGCAUCGAAAGCUUGCUUUUGAUGGGCGUCGACCGGCGCACGGGUGAGUAACGCGUAUCCAACCUGCCCAUCACUUGGGAAUAACCUUGCGAAAGUAAGACUAAUGCCCAAUGACAUCCCACGAAGGCAUCCGAAUGGGAUUAAAGAUUUAUCGGUGAUGGAUGGGGAUGCGUCUGAUUAGCUUGUUGGCGGGGUGACGGCCCACCAAGGCAACGAUCAGUAGGGGUUCUGAGAGGAAGGUCCCCCCCAUUGGAACUGAGACACGGACCAAACUCCUACGGGAGGCAGCAGUGAGGAAUAUUGGUCAAUGGGCGAGAGCCUGAACCAGCCAAGUAGCGUGCAGGAUGACGGCCCUAUGGGUUGUAAACUGCUUUUAUAAGGGAAUAAAGUGGGUCACGUGUGACUUUUUGCAUGUACCUUAUGAAUAAGGACCGGCUAAUUCCGUG